AAUGACGACCUUUCCGCUCCGUAUUUUACAUCUACUUUCGGUUUGUUUAUUCCAGUUCGGAGUUCGUGGAAGUGGUUGAAAACAGACUAAUCUAAUCACUUAUCUUUAUUCUAUUUAUAUCAUGACACAUUCAUCAUGUUCAUUUGAGAAUCCCAGCAAGAGAAAGAACUAUGUCCAGUAGACUAGAUGCCAAUCUCGUCGCUGGUAGCAACAGUGAGUGCAGUGGAGACAGACAUGUAGUCCACGAGACAGAAUUAGGGCCUCGCCUGGAACUCUAUGUUGAUAAUAUCCCUGUCCAGACAGAGGACUGUGAAGUCAAGGAAGAAGAGUUUGUUGUGGUGGACGUGAAUAAACCCGGGCUCGCCCUACUUCUGGGGUUUGAAACUUUUAAAAAUGGUGAAGUACCAAGACCUGGGGUCAAAAGAGAUCUAGAAAAAAUGUAUGAGCUGUUCCAUGAACAUCUAGGCUUUGAGGUUCAAUGGAGAAAAGACUUGACUGAUGAAGAAUGCAUGAAGUGGAUCAAAGAUGUAACCUCUAAUACCGAACUUCUACAAAGAAUCUCAUGCGUUGUCAUGGUGAUAAGUUCCCAUGGCAUGGAGGCAGAAGUAAGGAGGGACAGCAGCAUGAACCCAGAAUUCAGGAGACAGGAGAUUAAGUUUUACCAACACCGAUUUUCCACGACAGACGGCAGCAUUCAGACCAGCGAAAUCAUCGAUAUGUUUGACGACCAAAAGUGUCAGGCCUUGAAAGGGAAACCUAAAGUCUUCUUCAUACAAGCUUGUAGGAGUAGGGUUGGUGAAGAUAAAUCUGUGGGUGACAUGGUGGAUGGAGGCGUGUCUAUCAGGAUCCAAUCAGAAUCCAGGGAAGAACCAAUCCCACUGGCACAACCUGUUAUGUCAUCCCAAAAUAACCCUGUGGUACAAAACGUGGAAUCCCAUUCUAGGAUGGAUGCCAAGGGAAUAAGAGCAGAAAAUUUCAUGAAAAACAACAAAUUGUUCUCUGACUUAUCUGGUCGUCUACGUGCCCCAAUGGAGGAAGAGAUUGCCAUAGCGCCCCCACCGUGUUUCCACAACUGUAUGAUAGUGAUGGCAAGUCCAUCAGGUAUGGCUGCGUGGUCAGAACUGGAUACAGGAGGCUGGCUGAUAACGUGUCUAUAUAGAGUUUACAUGAAUCACGUGAAUAACGGACACAAGAUCAGAAUGCUCCCCGCCAUGACGAAAAUCAACUACCUGAUGGCCAUGACAAUGGAGUCGAUCACAAACGAUGUCAGUCUCAACUUCAUGAAGUGUGUGCCGGUGACAACUCACAUGUUAGAGAGAGACAUAGUCCUGGUGCCAAAAAACCUCCAGUGAAAAAAACACCUGGUGCUCUUUACUGUUAAACUUGCUUCCAAGGGGCUAUAAAAUGCAACUUCUUUGCUGCUGAGUAAAUUCCAGUGUUUGUUAAGAUUUUUCAACUGUACUAACUAAUGUAUUGAUACAGCAGCCAGAGAUCCAUGUAUAUAUGUGUAAAUAUGUGCAAACGGUGUCCACCUUAUACUGAUAAUAAUUUUUUUUUGUAUUAUAGAGUCAGCUUUUAUUUUUCUUAAUAAUAUAAGAUGGGGUUAUGAAACACUGUUUCUUAAUUAAAGUCGAUGAGGACUCAGAUGGAAGCCAUGCAUUGCCCAAAUCUAUGCUAAAAGUACCGUAUAUACUCGCCUUUUAAGUCGGUUUUUUGGGAAUUAAAUUUUAGUCCAAAAGUCUAUGUCUGACUUUAUAGGCAAGUCAUAAAAGACUAAUAAUUUUCUGGACGGCGAAACGUAAUAUUCUAUAAAUAUUUUCAACAGUUAUCAGUGAACUUAGUCUGGAUUUCAUAUAUCAUGUUUGUAUUCUAAGAGUAUGCGUUGAUAACAAGUAUUUCUAUAGUACAUAUAUUAAAUAAUUUCAUUUUUUAAUCUUAAGAGGGCAUUUUCUUUUUCUUCAAUGAUUUAAAGUUAAUAAUCAACCCUCAUUUCUAAAAAAAAUAUUGAUUGAAACCAGUUUAAAACAUAAGAGCAUUUAUUUAAAAUUGACUCUGAUUCCGGCAAAAAGUUGUACCGACUUAUAAGCGGGUCAAUGGCAAAUCCCUGCAAAAUAACAUUAAAAAAAUACAACCGACUUAUAAGCGAGUAUAUACGGUAAAGUGCAAGAGAAUUCUCUGAUCUUAUGGAAGAUUUGAGUGCUAAAUCAAUCCAAACAAAAUGAAGAAAUAUCAGAAUUUUUCUACAGUGACAAAAAGUACUGCUGUAUUUUGUAAAUUUUCCUUUGAUCUUGCAAGAUUAUCAUAUGUAAUGAAACAAUUUUCAGAUUAAUGUGCAAGGUUUUAUGACCAGUGUUUUGUAUACUUCUGUGAAUUUCAGAUUGCUUUAGAACCAAAAUGAAGGUGCCUGCAGCAAUUGUGAAGUUUAUAAAAUCAGAAAGUUGAUGAAUUGACCUCAUUCUUUUGUAGUGUAUAAGUACACUUUACUUGAUUUAUAUUUUUGACACAUGCACUAAAUCCCUUACUCCAUGAUAUGAGCACCAUAGUUCUAAAUCAUUUUCUGAUUUGAUUGGUCACAUUCUAUUAUUCCAUGAUAUGAGCACCAUAGUUCUGUAAUUCAUUUUUUCUGAUCUGAUUGUUCAGUGAUCUGAUUGGUCCUUGAUCUGAUUGGUCAGUGAUCUGAUUGGUCAGUAAUCUAAUUGGUCAGUGAUCUGAUUGGUCAGUAAUCUAAUUGGUCAGUGAUCUGAUAGGUCACAUUCCCUCAAUCCUUUGUGUAUCAUCAGGUGCUUCAGUUGGUUUAAAUAGAUUCUCUACUUCAGUUCAUCAAUUCAUGUCAUUGAAUGAGGAACAAUGACUUUAAAUAAAAAGUAGUGGAGUUACAGAUGUCAGGGGAUUUUAGAAAACAAGAAAGGAUGAAAUAAACUGUAAUUAAUGAAUGAUUAAUUCUCUUAUGUACAUGUUAAUCUAAUGGAUAGAUUUUACUACCAUGAUUGUUACCUGUAUUAUAUUUUAGCGAGAUUAAAACUGUGAAGUCUUACGGGAACAAUAUCUGAUGAGGAUAGAUAUUUAAAUGCAACUUUUUAAAAAAGAAAUUGUUCUAUCCUACAGGAAGUUCUGAAUACAUCUUGUAGAAAAUUUGUGACUGCUCUAUAAAAGUACAUGGAUAAUUUAUCUCUCAGGGGAAAAAAAUGUGUAUAAUUAAAAGACUAACCAAAUAACAUGGUUACAGUGAACAUGCUUGUGCCUCACUUCCAACAAAAUUAUUUUAAUUUCCUGUUGAACUUAAUAAAUUGUGUCAAUAUCCAAUCAAAAUGAAGCAUCCUUUUUACUGUGUAUGGUAGUUGUAUGAAAACUAUCAAUAUUCAUGAAGUAUAUAGCUCAAAUUUUUAUAUAUUUGUAUUUAUAAGGAAUUUUUGUUCUAGUUUCCUUUUUCACAUGUUAUUCUAUUAAAAUGAUUCAAUAAAAUUAA